UACGUAGGGCGCAAGCGUUGUCCGGAAUUAUUGGGCGUAAAGAGCUCGUAGGCGGCUUGUCACGUCGGAUGUGAAAGCCCGGGGCUUAACUCCGGGUCUGCAUUCGAUACGGGCUGGCUAGAGUGUGGUAGGGGAGAUCGGAAUUCCUGGUGUAGCGGUGAAAUGCGCAGAUAUCAGGAGGAACACCGGUGGCGAAGGCGGAUCUCUGGGCCAAUACUGACGCUGAGGAGCGAAAGCGUGGGGAGCGAACAGG
rnacentral:rRNA from 1 species